GAGUAAAUGAUCUGAACAGAAUUUUACAGAUAUUUUUCUUGAUAUUUUAAUUCCUCCUAAAGAUUCAUUUGCUUUGAAGUAAGAUUUAUAAAAAAAAAAUCAUUUAAAUGUUUCAUAUUCAUUCUAAAUUUCAUUGGCAAAUUAUUUAAAACAUUUUUCAAGAAUAUUAAUAAAGUAUUAUAUACACAUUUUGUUUCAUCAUGAUCCUUUGAAAAUUGAUAAAUAAAGUUUUAAAUUUUAUUUCUUCAUAACCACAACAGAAUAACCUUAUUUAAUUUAUGGGAGUUAAGCCAACACUAAUAAAUAAACAGGCUAAAGAAAAAAAAAUCAACCUCUGUAUUGCCUUGGGCAUGUGGCUGGACACUGCUAUUAUUUACGAGUGCUAAGUCUAGUCCACUUAGUGUUUCAAGUUAAACAAGCAGUUGGUAGCAAAUGUUUCUUUAAGAUUAAAAAUAUGUUUUCAUUUUUUUUUAUUUUACUGUUACUGUUUGUGUUAAAAUGUUUUUAUUUUAAACACUUCUUUGAAAAUCACUAAAAGUUUAAAGAAAAGACUACUAAAUUUUAUAAAUUGAUUAUUUGUAUCUGUUAUUAGCAUACUUUUUUCACAGUUUUUGAAGAAAAAAAACAUGUAAUUGCCUAGUGUCAUGACUGUAGAAGUUUUUUUUUACUACAUGGCAACAAAACCUAUGUCAUAUUUUGUUUGAGUUAUUAGUACAUUAAGUUUAUUUGUUUCACAACAGGCCUUCACCUGUAGUUGCAUUUAAAACAAUUAAAAUAUUUAUUAUAAUUUCUGAACACUUACAGUCUUUAGAAAAACAAUUUAAUCGGCUUAUAUAAACACACUUUAAGCUGAAAAGCUCUCUUGUAUAGAAAAGCUCUCUUGUAUAAAAUAUAUAUAUUUUUGCAAUUUUUUUGGGUUGCAGAGAAAGUGGAUAAUUAGUAAUUUUAAGUUGAUAUAGGACACCUAAGCCAAAUAAUUAGACACUAAGAAAAAUUGUUGCAUUGGUUCUAUUACUUCUUUGCUUCAACAGGAUAUUUAUUCUUGACCUGCCAAUCAAAGCCCUUCAAACUCUUCAAUUCUCUGAAGCAUAAUAAAAAGUAGCCAAGUGACCAUUUAUAAUAAAUAUUUACAUGUCAUAUGUAUGGAAUCCAGCUAGCUGAUUUAUUAUAGAUAAGGAGCAAAUACAAUCAGAACUCAUCCAGAAUGGGUUUGAUUUGUUUCACUGAAUAAACAAAUGGUAUCUCAUGCUAUCAAUAUAUGUUAUCUGAAGUCAAUGUGCUGGAACUGGUAUAUCAUUUCUGCUUGUUGUUUUCUUUUAAAACCGAAUUUGGCUGUUGAAGAAAAUGUAAUAAGUAAUAGAUAAAAGAGAUAAUUCAAGAAAUGUGAAUUUUGUUGUUGAUAUUGAUGGUAAAUUUUGCAAUGUUUAUAAAAAAUGUAGCAAAG
rnacentral:sRNA from 1 species